rnacentral:misc_RNA from 1 species
GAUGAAGAACGCAGCGAAAUGCGAUAAGUAGUGUGAAUUGCAGAAUUCAGUGAAUCAUCGAAUCUUUGAACGCACAUUGCGCCCUUUGGUAUUCCUUAGGGCAUGCCUGUUCGAGCGUCAUUUAAACCUUCAAGCUCAGCUUGGUGUUGGGUGACUGUCCGCUUCACCGCGGACUCACCUCAAAAUUAUUGGCGGCCGGUACAUUGGCUCUCGAGCGCAGCAGAAACGCGUAACUCGAGGUCCUCGUGCUGGCUCCCAGAAGCUAUCUUCACAAUUUUGACCUCGGAUCAGGUAGGGAUACCCGCUGAACUUAAGCAUAUCAAUAAGCGGAGGA